rnacentral:lncRNA from 1 species
UGGAACAAUAAUCGCCUACUUGUAUAAGUGACACAGUUUUGGUACGUCGAUGUGUUAUCUUAUGCAAUGUCUCAAUUCAUGCAACUACCCAAGUAAACGCAUUGGGGAUGCAUUUUCGUUGCUGAUAAAUACCAUGUGUAUAAAUUUAGUGACUGUGUAUUUAUAAACGGUCGUCUAUGAUUAAUUGUAAAGUAUAAUAAAGGGAUACUUAUAAGCGG